UCCAUUACGAUUUCAGAAUUGUCUUACAAUUUGUUUCACAGAAGUGUACGUACCCACUACGCCAACAAAAGACCCUAUUACCAUAAUCGCAACAAUUACCACCAACUCGAACCCGAAUCUCCGAGCAGCAACGUUAAUCUUGAGGUAGAACAAGCACGGCAGCAAGACUGAGACCAUCACGUUCAGAGAUGCGCCGAUUAAAGCCAUUAAGUAGCUAAAAAAGGGAAUGGCCAAGGCCACAAUUACGGUGCUAAUUACAAUUAAGGUUCGCACGAAGAUGCUAAUUGUGAGACUAUUGCGAAAAGGGCGUGUAUCCUCAAUAGCAGCAGCAAUCGGAGUGAUUAUAAUUGCAUACUUUGUGAGGGGAUUAAUUAUAGUAAUGUAAAUUGCUAUCCUUGAACUAAUUUUUCGUACUGGAAGAUUUAAUGUGACUUGAGACUUCAAUUCUUGUCCGAACAUCAAGUAACCUAAAACCGCCAUUGAUCCGUAGGUGAUGGUGCUUGCAACGAAGCAGAUAAGUAAUACCUGCAAUGAUGGGGAAAAUGGACAUGGUCAUAUCACUGCAAAAGAUUUCAGGAACAAAUAGAAUCCGUUACAAAAAAUUUAGUCAAAAAUUAAGUUGAAGGAGAGUAAACCGACAAUAAGCUAUGUGUGAAUCACGAUUUAAUGCCUCUUUAUAGUCCUCUUAAAUGUUUCUCUUAUUCUGUUUUUUAUUAAAAAUUUGUAACCAUUCUAUCUGCACCUGUUCCCUGAAUUAUUUAACCGUGCUUUGAAAAUACUGACCUUGGAGAAUUUGCUCCUGUCCUUCAUGGAAUUGCACAAUGUGGGAAAAACUGCAUGGCCACAAUAGCAGAACAGAUACAAGUUCACAGCAGUAGGCAAUCCUCUGAAAUUCAGAAGAACAUCUCCUUCAUGAAACCCUACACCAUCAACCGCACCAACCCAAAAUACGCAGGCAACCAAAAAAAGAGAAGCGAAAACUCCUCCGGCGGAAACAUACGCCAACAAUCCCAGACUCUUCAGCCAUGUCGUUGGCAGAAUUACAAGGGCAGUGAGCAAAACAAAGCAUUGUUUGCCUCCGACUUUGAGGCCUGCCAUGUUAAAACCCUUGCUUGGGAACAACUGGCUUAAGUUGUCACCUUCUAAUAUUAGAAACUCAACAGCUACCAAAUACAGCUCAAGGUACAUAAAAAUGGAGAUGGCGACUCUUCCUUUCUGUCCAUAAGCAGCUUCUCCAAUGUCGGGAUAACUCUUGAUCCGCGGAUUCCCGUCCAUGCAUCGUCGUAGAAGCAACCCGGUAUACCAACAAAGAAGUGCCAACAGGAAAAGAAGGAUUAAGCUCAGCCACCCUCCUUCAGAAAGUGCAAUUGGAAUCGAUAGAAUCCCAACUCCUGAAAAAUUAAACAAGGUAAUUAAGAACGUUUUGUGUGAAGGGGUCAGACACGCUAUCCUAGUCAACCGACCUAAUUCAUAUUUGUUGUAAUUAAGAAAUUUAAAAAUAUAGUGUGACAGAGAGAAAAAAGAGACAAAUUUACCUGAUAACGUGUUGAGGCCAUUAAAACAUGUUCUGAAAAAUGUGGUGCCUCCACCUUUGGUUGGUUCCUGUGAGGGUAGGUUUUGGCUCUCAAUUUUCUCUGCUUUAAGGCUGUCCAUUUUUUGUAUUGCCCACUAUAAAAACUUUGGUUCCACUGAGGAAGCAAGGGCUAUCCAGAUACAUAAUGCAAAAAGGUGACCAAAGCUAGCAUUGCCAGAAACGAUUGAAUUCCAAUAACAAAAUCAUUUGUUCCUGGAAAAAAAGAAAAGAAAAGAAAGGGAAAUGGAUGGUGAGGAUGAGUAGAUAGCCACACAAACAAACAUAAAUAUUUAAUUAAAGAGAGCAUUAAGCAGCUUGUGUUAGACCAAGUCCGUGUCUGGUUUCUGUUCCCGCAACUUCAGGAAGUUGUGAUCAACCUAAACUCUUAUCUAUGAAGAGUUAGCUCAGUUUACAACUCUUUUAAAUGUUUGUUGUUUCUAUGAUACGUUUCCUCUGUAUCUUCUGUUGUAAUUUUUGAAUUUUGAAUAGCCUUGUAAAUAGGGAUUUCAUUCUCUAAUCUAAUCUGAAGUGGAAUAUAAAUACAUGCAGCCCUUCAUUGAAAAGGCAUGCAAUUGAAGUGAACCCUUGAAUAUACUUAAGUUUUACAUGGUAUCAGAACCCUAGCAGUCUAACGACACAAAUCCAAUUUUUUUUCCCAUUGGCUGAUAGCUCGAAGGCAUGCAAUUGAAGAUACAAAGGAAACGUAUCACCGAAACAACAAACAUUUAAAAGAGUUGCAAACUGAACUAACUCUUCAUAGAUAAGAGUUUAGGUUGAUCACAACUUCCUGAAGUCGCGGGAACAGAAACCAACUGGGUCUAACAGCUUGUACAAUCUGUGGAAUUUAAUUGGUGAAAAUUACACGUCUAUAGGCUUUCAAGAUGAAACCCACUUACAUGUCACGAAAUUUGCUUUAGAAGAAAUUAAGCUUAAUUUCCAUUAGGAUCCAAUCUCAGAGGAGACGUAUCCUCUUAUUGUCAUGCAUUAUUUGCGAUAUCAUCCAUAACUGUUCAGAACAAUGAUCGACACGCGAAUAUAAAACUUAUUCGGCACUCCUCUUUUGUUAUACUUGGAGGAGUGCGAAUGGCUAACAGACUUUCUAGAAUGUUAUUGUAAAUAGAAUUUUUUUUAGAAUAUCAAUAACCGUUUUCAAAUCAUAAUUGUGUAUUUUAUCUUAUGAUAACUAAUAUUUUGAAUAUCAUCACUAUUUUGGUCAUUCUAAUACAAUUACAAAUAAACACAUGAAAAUUGCACACUUAAAAUAGCCCGAAAAGCACUUUCCACGUUCAUGGUCUUAUCUUACUUCACAAUAAAAAAAAAAAACAGAGAGACUGUUAUACGUAUUUAUAAAAUUAUACAAAGAACAUAGUGAUUUUAUCAAGAAAAAUAGUUAUUUUUUUGGACGCUCAUAUGGUUGUAAUCCAGAAAUUGAUGAACUUGAGGACGGUUGAAUUUCACAAUAAAAUUGAAGAGAAAGCCUUCAGGCCAUCUCCAACCGAAGGGUCUAAAAGAUCAAAGAGCCGAAAAUAGUCCGAAAACCGUCUCAAACCAAGGAUCAGGGCAAAUGGCUCGUGGGCCUCACUGGACAAAAAAGGGCCAACCCGCUGGCUAGCCCAAUUUCUUUUUUUUUUUUUUUUUUUUUUUUUUGUUCUUUUCCAUUUGUCUAGCCCCCUUUAGGGUUUGGGGCUUAGGUUUUAUUUUUUUGUCCCAGCUUAUUUUUUGUUUUUUAUGCCUAGCCCACAUUUCUUUUCUCUUUUUGGACUUUUUAAAAAUAAAAAUUUAAUUUCUAAUUUUUUCUUACAUCAUUUCUCACAUAUUUUUCAUCAUUCUAUACUAUCUUACCUCAUUUUAUUUCAAUUCUUCACAUUCCAUACCAUUACCAUUUGGCCCUCGAUUGGAGAUGGUUUUUUAUGACAUGCCUAAAACGAGCCCUAUGGCCCUCGGUUGGAAAUGGUAAGAAAUAUGGCCCUGCACUGUUCAUUAAAAUAUUAAUUUCUUCGAGGGUCAGAGGCUUCGAGGGUCAGAGGGCUAAAACGAGCCCUUUGGCCAGCCUUCGGUUGGAGAUGACCUUAUAAUUUAGACAAGCAAAUGGGUGUUCAAAGAAAGUGAAAAAUAGGUGUCCAGAGAAAAAUAAUCAGAAAAAUUAAAAGAAAGGGUCGGCAAAUGCUUAUGUGGAUGAUUCUCCCAGAUCUGAAUAAUUUAGCCCUCUGUCCAGAGAAAAAUAAUCAGAAUAAUUUAGCCCUCUGUCCCGGAUGAUUCUCCCAGAUCUGAUCUCCCCGACUCAAAAUGUUUUUGUGGUGGGUCGGCAAAUUCAGGACAGUAUUGGGAUUGCCCAUGAACAUUUCCACUUCCUGAAAGGUAGAAAAGCUAAAGGUAAGUUCGAGAUAGGCAUAAAGCUUGAUAUGGAAAAGGCCUAUGAUAGGGUGGAGUGGGAUUUUCUUGAUGCGGUUAUGGAAAGAAUGGGUUUUUGUAAUGAUUGGCGGAGGAUCAUAAUGGGGUGUGUGUUUUCGAUCCAGUUUAGUCCUUCAAGGGUCCUCAGACAGGGAGACCCCCUCUCACCCUACUUAUUUAUCUUGGUUGGAAAAGUUCUAUCCCGGAUGAUUAAGGAUGCAAUGGAUCACAAUCUUCUGAAGGGUGUAAGGUUCGGUGGCUCCGGACCGAUUAUUUCGCAUAUGUUCUUUGCGGAUGAUACUCUUCUAUUUCUGAGAGCAAAUGAGAAGAAUUGCCGCAAUAUUAUCCAACUCCUUGAAUUGUAUUGUGAGGUUUCGGGUCAAAAAGUGAACCUUAAUAAGUCGAGUGUUUUCUUUGGUGCAAAUGUUCCUGUUGACUGCUCCACUCUUUUAGGCAAUAUCCUUGGUAUGAAGGUGGUUGAUAACCCGGGUGCUUAUCUGGGUGUCUCGGCUAUCUGGGGGUGUUAAAAAAAAAAGAGGUUUAGCCUAUGUAAAGGGGUGAGUGAUGAAGAAGCUCCAAGGUUGGAAACAUAAUUCUUUGUCUCGAGCGAGGAAAGAAGUUCUAAUUAUUGCUGUGGUCCAAGCCAUUCCUGCCUACCUAAUGAAUAUUUUUAAGUUUUCGGCCAUUGUAUGUCAGGAACUAGAUUCUCUGGUUUCAAAUUUUUGGUAAGGGAGCAAGGAUGGGGUUCGAAAAACUCAUUGGGUUCAUAAGUCUAUUCUUGGGCUUCCAAAGUCUCGGGGUGGCUUAGGCUUCCGGAAUUUUCAAGAAUUUAAUAAAGCUUACUUAUGAAGCAAUGUUGGAGAUUGGUAACUAAACCAAAUUCUCUAUGGGCUCGUGUGAUCAAAGCUCGCUAUUUCCCUCACUGUUCUUUUUUGGAGGCUAGAAAAGGAGGUCGAGCUUCGUGGGCAUGGGCUAGUCUUCUCUCAGUUAGAGAUUUGUUUAAUAAGGGUUCCCAUUGGCAAAUCAUGGGAGGGCAAGAUGUCAAGGUUUGGAGUGAUAGGUGGCUGCCCUCGAUUCCUUCGGGACACCCGAAGCCUAUGGGACAGCAGAGUGUAUCGCCAAAUCUCAGAGUUUCUUCGCUAAUAUGCCCGAUAUCAAGUUGUUGGGAUAUUGAUUUUUUUGCAAGCUUUUCUCUCUGAAAUGGAUCAAAUGGCUAUUUAGACUACUCCCAUUGGUGUUUUAGGUCGUAAGGAUAUACUUGUGUGGGCUCCGAACAAGAAGGGUAUCUACUCGGUUAAGUCGGGGUAUAAUUGGUUACUAAGCAGUGCUGUGGACAAGAGGGGGUUUAGCUCUACUUUAAUUAAUCAACUCACUCCUAUUUUUUUGAAACAUUUAUGGAAACUUGGGGUGUAUCCUAAGAUCCGGCACUUUAUUUGGAUCUCGAUUCAUGGUGGGCUUCCCACCCGUGCUACUCUCUAUCACCGUAAAUUUGCCCAUUCCCCUGUGUGUCCUAUCUGUUUGUGCUAGGAUGAAUCUCUUGAGCAUCUCUUCCUCCUUUGUACUUGGGUUCACCCUAUCUGGUUUGGCGGUGCGCUCCCUUACAAAGUGGAUGGUAAAGCUAUUUCUUCGUGGGGUGGGUGGUGCAAUGAUGUGUUUUCGCCAACGUUUGGAUCGGCUUCAAGCAAGAAUUGGGUCCAAUCUUACAUUGCUUUCACUUGUUGGUUCAUUUGGAAAGCUCGUUGUGAUUUUGUGUUUAAUAAGGUUCCAUUGAACCCGGUUUCAGUUCUUCUAAAAAUUUCAGCUGCCCUUAGUUCUUUUUUGAAGGCUAAUUCUAGCGUGGAGCCGUGUGGAGUGACGAGUUUUGCUUCGGCUCCUGGAGUUGCCUCUUGGUGUGCUCUGUCUGAUCCUUGUUUUAAGAUAAAUGUGGAUGAUAGCUGGUCGAUGGUCACUCAACAAGGUUUCGUUAGGGUGUUGGUGCGUGUUGCUGAAGGAAGAUUUGUAGCAGCUGCGCGCUACCCUAUUUGUGCUCCAUCUGCCAUCACUGCGGAAGCCCUUGCCUUGUUUCAUGGGUGCAGGUUGGGGUUGAAGUUGGGUUUUCAGGAGGUCAUUUUCAAAGCGGACUUGUCAGAAGUCAUUUCUUGUCUUUCUAGUUCUGUUGUUGACAACUGGGAGGCUUCCCCUACAUUGGGGAUGAUCAGAUUGUUGGGGAGUUCUUUUCAGAGUUGUCGUUGGUCUUGGGUUCCGAGAUUAGCUAAUGAAGCAACGCACAUUUUGGCGUUGCAUAAUUCGUCGGAGAUGAAUGAUUAUGUUUAGGUUGAUCGACCCCCAUCUUCGUUGGUUUUCAUCCUACACAAUGACGGCCUUCCUUGUCCACAUUAAUUCUCAUAUGUUUUUUUUUGGUGCUGGGGUGACGCUUUCACAAGGUGGAAGUGUCCUAUUAUUUGUAAGCCCCGCACUAUUGUUUCCUGCUCAGGCUCUACCUUUGUAUUAGCCUCUUAUAGGCUCUUCUGCUGCUGCUUUGUUGAUCCUGUCUUGUUUCAAUGAAGUGUGUUUCCUCUAAAAAAAAAAAGUUUGUUUUCCAACGUCCUCCUUUUUUCUUUUUCUUUUUUUUCUGGGUUCAAAUUUGUCCAGGGAAACCUAUAGAUGAUGGAACUUGUUCCUUUUUUGUCCACCCAAAGCCCAAAUUCUAGUUCUAGUACUUCAUACAGCCCAAGCCUAAAUAUAUAUAUAUAUAUAUAUAUAUAUUUGGGAUUUUAAUUUACCACAUUCCCGUCUUCUUCUUGUGCACUUCUUUUUUUGUUUACGUUAGUUGAUUUUUUUUAUUUAUUCAGUUUAGUGGCUACAAUAAAAGAAGAGAGUGGUUGGAAAAAAAAAAUUAGUGCAAAAAUAAUUUCUCAAAUUUUAAUACAAGAUGAAGGAGAAUCGAACGUGAAAGAGUUAGGUGCUCUCAUGGAUUUGACAGCAUGCAACUUUUCCACAUUCUGCAAAAACACUCUGCACGUUCAAACUAAGUACUAAUAUGACACGCCCCGACCGAAGUCGAGACGUGUUGGCCGUCACGUGAGCGUGACAUAGCCUUGUGCGCAAAGCGGAAGCGAUAAAGAGUAAGGAAAUACGAACAAUUUAAAACCAAGCAACUAGCAAUCUCAGUUAAGAUAGGAUGCUAGUGAAAAGUCUAAGUGUAUAAAUACACUUUCAGAGCAAUAAGAAAGUCUAGUUGCAGUCAAAUAGGACAAUUACUAAGAUACAACAGCCGAAGGUGAAUCCUACUUUUUCGGAUUCUGUCAGAAACCCCGUUGGAUUCCUCAUGGCCACCAAACUCUGGUACCUAAAACCUAGAGGGGCGAAAAACAAAGUUGAGUGGGUCAGUAAAACACAUUUACACGAAAACCUUAUUUUUCUUUGAAUAUACUAACCCCUCGCCGUAAAACAAGUAUAUAGAUAAUUUCCCAAAAAUAGAAUACAUAAAUAUGUAUAUAUCUCAAAUCAUGCUCAAUAAUUCAAGAUUCAUAUUUGUAUGUAUACUGAACUCCUACUGUCCUGUUACCAAGCAUUCUCUCUUUUGCUCGCCUAAGGGUGCACUAAGAAAGAUUGCUAAAACGACCAAAGGAAAGGGUAUAUACACCCAUAAAUUGUAGACCGGAACUGCCCUCGCCUACCUGCACUGACUUCCUUGCCUUACGAAAAGCAUUUAAAAAGUUAAAUUUUCCCUCCUCAAUUAGUUUUUCCUUCGGCAACGAACAGUUCCAUGCCUAUAUAUAACAGAGUAACCAAUUCAGGUAAGAAUAAUUUCAUAGAAAUAUAACAUGUUAGCCGGAACCUCUGUGGUAGUUUGUACGGCUGAAUUCAUAGCUCAAAAGUCACUCUAGCCGGAGUCACUACAAUGACCUAUACGGCAACAUAUUGCACAAAAGUCGGAACACAAUAAAAGGGUCUGUACGACAAUAAUGGGUGUAAUAUAAUCAUGCUCAAUAUUACUCUCACAUAAUAGUUGUGCGAUAAAUCACUAGUCACCUACGAGUCGGAACCAUAAAUAAGGUAUGUACGACAAUAAUGGGUGUAAUAUAAUCAUGCUCAAUACUACUCUAACAUAAUAACUGGGCGAUAAAUCACUAGUCAUCUACGAGUCGAAACCAUAAAUAAGGUUUGUACGACAAGACUGUGCACCUAAAUUGGAUCUAAUGUGAGCAUAUGGUGCGAGAGGUGACAUAAUAAACAAGCUUGUGUCAUAUCUCUGGCUAAAUCACAAGCACCCUAAGUGCAAUUUUAUGAGUUUAACAUUAUUCAAUCACAAAUUGCAUCAUUGACAAUUCAUAUAACCCAAACAUAACUCACCUGAGCUUACCUGGGCCUCCACAACACCAUACAACAAUAUGCAUAAUUAUGAUAAUGCAUAUACCAAAAUAAAAUAUAGGCAUAGCAUGACAUUUAAAUCACAUUUCCUUUAAAUACGUUUUCUGGGAAAAACGUCAAGUGUGUAUAUAUAUAUAUAUAUUGAAAAUAAUUGCCCACUCACAGAUAUGCAGCUGGGUCGUAACCCCCAUGCCUAGCCUGGCUACGCUCAUCCUCCGGAUAGGUCUUACCUAUAAGAGAAGUACUGAAAUAACGUUAUUUAAGCACAUAAACUAACUAUGUAAUAACUUCUCAUACAUAUCUCAAAUUGGGUAUAUGAAUAUACCACAGUGACCUAUACAAUCUCAGGAUCGUCCCCAUAUUUUUAAAAUAAUUUUUCAUCCACUCAAGCGCCGCCACGCACCGGCGAGUGCAUGGCAAGACACGCGGCCAGGCGCAGGGAGCCCUAACGGAAACAGUAACGGCAGUUAGGGAAUAUUCUGUUAAAUCCUAACAGAUUCCGUUAAACUUAAUUGACGGUGUCAGAAUAUUCCGUCAUCUUCAACCUCAGACUCUGGCGACCGUCGUCGUCACCGGAAAACUGAGAAAUUUUCAAAUUGCUAUAUCUCUCUCAUUUCUUCACCAUUUUCUACGAAAUUACCACCAAAAUGAAGCUUAGGGUCCAAAGAAUUACUUUAUACCUAUUUGAAGCUUUAAAUUCCACGAAAUCACGUCGGAGCAAGUUUGAAAAUCCGGUGACCUCUGCAACUCCUCGUAUCUGGGCUUCCCGACGUCCAAUUUUCACCAACGAUGCACUCCGAGCAUUGUGGGAAGGUCCUUAAGCUUGCUAUGGUUCUAAAAAUUAAAGAAACUCACGAUUUAAAAGUUGGUGAACAGUACCACCUUCGGAGGUUCAAUUUCCAAGGUUUCCUUACGUCUACACCUGGCCAAAACUCAUCCAAAACACUUAGGAGGGAGAGAAGAUACCUUUAGGAGUCUUGAUAUGGCUUGAAACCUUGAAAAUCACUUCAGUGGUACUGUACCUCGACGGACCUCUCAGGUCUAAGGUUUUCCUAUGGUUUCAAGGUCAAAAAUGACAUGGUUGAAUUUGUUGACCUUCAAGGAUCUCGGAUAUGGUCACUGCAAGUUCAAUCUGUGAGAAAUGGUUGGUUUUGGGGUGUGAUCCGUACAAUUGCAGAGAGAGAGAGUGUGUGUCCGAGAGGGAGCGAGUACGGGAGGGUGAGAGAGAGAAAGUGGUACUUUUGUGUGUGUGUGGUUUACAAACAACCAACCAAUCACCACUAAUUUCCUUUAGUUCCAAUUGGUCCCAAAAAUUUAGGAAUUUAACAUAUUAGUCCACUUCCAAUAGCAUGUCACACACAACACAUCUCAACGCCCAAGGGCAUUUUAGUCUUCUCACAUCAACGAUAAUUGUUUCUCGGGACGGGCUGUCACAAAUAUGAUCCAAAAAGGUGGUGCAUUUUGCCUUAUUUUUGUGAAUCUAUGAUCGUCACACUCAAAAGUUUCUCGACCGUAGGUGUUAGGUUUUUAGCUCUCCAUUUCUUGCUUUUAGCCUUAUGGGGUCCGACGUUAGGUGUCUCUCAUUAGGCAUUUCACAGUAGUUUGAGUGAGUGUGACACUUAAAUAUAAGAAUCAUGUAACUUGUGUUUGAUACGUAUAACAAUACUGCUUCACUAGUGUAAGUUCAAUAUAUUAGUAUCACACUUAAAUUUUCUAGUCCACUGUAAGUGUGUGACUUCUGUACAAGUUCAAUAUAUUAGUCCACACUAGAUAAUGCAUGACAGGCCAUGAAUAAUGCAAGAAAAAGGACUGAAAAAAGCAUCAAAUUAUUAGGGAAGAAAGCAGUGUACGUACUUUGCAGGGAUCCCAAAUCCAGAUUAAAUAUAUGCUCUUCUUUUCUAUGGAUGUCUUGUUUUUUAGUGUUGAAGUGUUAUAUAUUGGAAGCACAUUCUUCUGCUCUAAAAAAAGUUAAAAGUCAUUAUUUACAAUGAAACUUGCUGCUUUAUGUGUGCCCAAUGUCUCAUAAUGUAUCCAGAUUCAAUAUGAAAUACUUGGCUGAACGCCAUGAAAUAAUAAUUCAUCAUCAAGAUUCAAAAGUGCUUCCAUACUGAUUAAAAACAAAAGACGAAAGUUGCUUUUGCAUAAUUGCAGACGAUGAAAAAUGAGUCAGAAUAGCCCGAUAUAUAGCUAAUAAACUAUUCUCAAUUUAUUACCGAUUAAUUUUGAGUUGAAUGCUCGUAUUCUAUUAUAUUAUCUUUCAAUUAUUCACUAACAAGCUAAGAAUAUCAUAUUUCGUAUCUCACGAUUAAUUAUUUUGAGAUUUUUUAUCUUUCACACGAUCUUACAACAUUGGAUGUAUUUUAUAGAUCUUCCUCUUUCAAAUUCUUGCAGCUGGUACCCUCCUUUUGAGGUCAUUUUCUUUAUCUUAUUGUUAUCUUUUGCCCAGAGGUCGCACUUGGUGCGAUGGCAAGCCAUGAGCGGUAGGUCUCGGGUUCGAGACUUGGGAGCAGCCUCUUCAUAAAUGGGGGUAAGGCUAGCCGACAUUCACCUCUCCCAAACCCUGCGUAAAGCGGGAGCCUUGUGCACUGGGUAUGACCUUUAUUGUUAUCUUUUGCCCCUUUAAUAAAAGAAAUGGCAUAUCCAAAGUUUGCUUUGGUGCAAUUUAAAUUAAUCCUAACAUGAUAUUCCAAACUAAUGAUUAUGAUCAAAUGAUGGUGCAUGCUUCCUGAUUCUUGUGAGUUUGUGACCAUUGUACUGGAAAUUUUCUCAAUUGUAGUACGAUUCGUAGGCGUUGGUUUUUUUUUUUUUUUUUUUUUUGAACUAAAAAAACAUCCAUUCCGAAAGACCAGAGGCCAACAGAAUACAGACAGCCCACACAAGAGCAAGCACAACAAAACAAACAAAGGGCCGUGCGAGGGAUAACAGCAAUACAAAGACGCUACCACAAAGGUGAGACGUCGUCCCAACACACGCCCAAACCCAAAAAAACCAAUCACGGAGGACAAGGCGUUGGUUUUGGUUCUCCGUUUUCUUUGCUUUAAGGGAUUCCGACUUAGCUGAGUAAUUAUUAUAACCAAGCACAUGAAAAUAAUGCUGGGAAAAAGCAGUAAAUUAUUAGAGCAAGUCCAGCCCAAGACAAUAGGCUAGUCUAAAGUCCCAAAUGUGCUGCAAUCCAGCCCAAGUCAGUCUCUAGGCCGGUCCAGAAUGUGCAGAGUCCCAACCUACAUGACGUCAGCCACUUGAUAUCCUUUUUUUGUGUUAGGCACGUGGAAAACACGCGCGAAUGGUCGCGAGUGGCCGACAACAUCGCAAAGGUGGGGCCCACUGUGCAGGUGCAAUAUGGGGUUCUUCCGUGUGGAUAUGUGGCACCAUGUGGACUGUUGGAUUCCCAAUGGCUAUUUUUCUAGGCCGUUAGAUUUCAACGGUAAAAAAAAUUGAAAUUUAAAAUUAAUGGCUACUGACAUGGCACAAUGAGUACCAUUUGAUUUUCAAAUCAACGAUCCAGAUUUUUUGGCCAAAAAACUUAAAAAUAAAUAAAUAAAAUGUCAGAAAUUAAUAAUAUUUUUUUAUAAAGUCAGAAAUUAAAAAUUAAAUUAUUAUUUUAUUAUAAAAAUUAAUAAUAUUUUAAUAAAUUGACUAGCCUAUAUAGUUUUAGAGAUAGAAAUGCAUUUGAUUAAUUAAACUGUUCAUAGAGUCUAUCAUUGUUCAUUGAGUGGAUUAAAUAGAUUGAAUGUCUGUAUUUUUUAGAAGUGAAGUUGCUCUUAGGAAAGCAAUGCACUUUGUUGGCUGAUUAAAAACCGGAUUAGGUUUGCUCCUUUUUCUAUGAAUUUCUUGUUUUUUCAGUUUCGUGGAUGCUAUUGGACACACAUCCUUCUCCACUACAGAAAGUCGAAAGCCAUGAUCCGGAAGCAGGAUUGACAUUUGACCGAACGUCAAAACUGACAGUUCAGUUGAAAAUUAAAGUAUGCGUACCAUGAUCGAAUAAAAGAAUUAUAAAAUUAAAGAAUAUUGAAAUCGAAGAAACACAACAAGAUUCCUUAAGAAUGUUACAUAAUUGAAUUCAUAAAAUUACAUUGUAACGCAUUUAUAAGAUUCUUAUUUAUAAGAGAAAAUGAAAAGAAACCCUAAAUAUAACGUAUGAAUAAUCAUAAUCCUUGGCCCACAAAAAAAUCUAAUAAAAUAACAAUAAUAAUAAAAACUAAUUUUCCAACAAAUUCAUCAUAAAAAAAUGCUUCCAUACAGAACAAAAAAACAAAAGAAAAAUUAUAUUCUGAUCCUUAUCCAAAAUUACUUUUUGAAUAAAACCUUAUCUACGAUUAAAAACUAAUUAUAAUCCUUAGUAUUUAGUUGUAACUUUUUAAUAUUAAAUAUGUUGUAAUAAUUAUUGAGUUUUUUGUUUGUAGGUUAUAUAUUGAUUCCCAUCAAUAAUAAAAAUGUUAUUUAUCAUUGAUAGUUAUUAUUAAGUUCUCAUAAUAAGAAAAGUCAUAUAUUAUCAUAUAUUUUUUAUUGUGUGUGAAUUUCUCCAUAUAUAUGUAUAUGCAUAUCACGUACAUAUGUAUGUUUAUAUACUAUAGUUAUGUACCAAUACAUUUGUACCAAUAUAUUCUUACUGAUACUUCUGUGGGUAUGAGUAAUAUAAAGUACCAAAGGUUAUGUACCGAUACUUUCGUACUUAUGAAUAAAAUAAGAUACCGAAUGUUAUGUAUAAAUUGAUUUUGUUUUGUUGUUGAAUUUUUUUAAUAAUGAGAAUUUGAAUUUUGAAUAAAUUUUUAUCUAUUCAUAUGAUUAGAGCACAAAAUAAAAAACAUAAUUAUGGAUGGGUAAAGAAUUUCGAAUGAAAAGUUUAUAAAUAAUAAAUGUGCUAUAAUUACUUAAAUCUAGUAAGUUUUAAAAAUAAGGACUUAUAUUAGAUUUUAAAAACCAUUCAGGUUAAAAUUUAAAAACAAUCUUAUUGAAACCCUAAAAUCUAAAAGCCCCAAAAAAAAAAUGCAAAAACAGAAAGUGAUUUUGCAUAAUUGCAAUGGGAAAUGAAUCAUGUGCUGAAAUUCUACUUCUUGCAAAACAUUUAUCAGAGUUACUAAUUAAAAUGCUCCAUUACAAUUUCAGAAUUGUCUUACAAUUUGUUUCACAGAAGUGUACGUACCCACUAUACCAACAAAAGACCCUAUUACCAUAAUCGCAACAAUUACCACGAACUCGAACCCGAAUCUCUGAGCAGCAACGUUAAUCUUGAGGUAGAACAAGCACGGCAGCAAGACUGAGACCGUCACGCUCAGAGAUGCGCCGACUAAAGCCAUUAAGUAGCUGAAAAAUGGAAUGGCUAAUGCCACAAUUACGGUGCUAAUUACAAUUAAGGUUCGCACGAAGAUGC
rnacentral:lncRNA from 1 species